rnacentral:tRNA from 1 species
GCCGGAGUGGCGGAACUGGCAGACGCAGCGGAUUCAAAAUCCGCCGGGCCUGAAAACCCGUGCAGGUUCGAUUCCUGUCUCCGGCA